rnacentral:rRNA from 1 species
GACGAACGCUGGCGGCGUGCCUAAUACAUGCAAGUAGAACGCACAGUUUAUACCGUAGCUUGCUACACAAUAAACUGUGAGUUGCGAACGGGUGAGUAACGCGUAGGUAACCUGCCUGGUAGCGGGGGAUAACUAUUGGAAACGAUAGCUAAUACCGCAUAAUAUUGAUUAUUGCAUGAUAAUUGAUUGAAAGAUGCUAUUGCAUCACUACCAGAUGGACCUGCGUUGUAUUAGCUAGUAGGUGAGGUAACGGCUCACCUAGGCGACGAUACAUAGCCGACCUGAGGGGGGGAACGGGCACACUGGGACUGAGACACGGCCCAGACUUCUACGGGAGGCAGCAAUAAGGGAUCUUCGGGAAUGGACCAAAGUCUGGCCGGGCAACGCCGGGGGGGGGGAGAAGGGUUUCCGAUCGUAAAGCUCUGUUGUAAAGGAAAAAAGGGUGUGAGAGUGAAAAAUUCACACUGUGACGGUAUCUUACCAGAAAGGGACGGCUAACUACGUG